UACGGAGGGGGCUAGCGUUGUUCGGAAUUACUGGGCGUAAAGGGCGCGUAGGCGGCACGGCAAGUCAGGAGUGAAAGCCCGGGGCUCAACCCCGGAAUGUCUUUUGAAACUGCCGAGCUAGAGUGCGGAAGAGGCAACUGGAAUUCCCAGUGUAGCGGUGAAAUGCGUAGAUAUUGGGAAGAACACCUGAGGCGAAGGCGGGUUGCUGGGCCGACACUGACGCUGAGGCGCGAAAGCCAGGGGAGCGAACGGG
rnacentral:rRNA from 1 species